UCCGUAGGUGAACCUGCGGAAGGAUCAUUAAAGAAUCGCCCCGUUUUUUGAAAUGGGUUCUAUUCCCAAACCGUGUAUACAUACCUUUGUUGCUUUGGCAGGCCGCCUUUAGGCGUCGGCUCCGGCUGACUGCGCCUGCCAGAGGACCCAAACUCGUUUGUUUAGUGAUGUCUGAGUACUAUAUAAUAGUUAAAACUUUCAACAACGGAUCUCUUGGUUCUGGCAUCGAUGAAGAACGCAGCGAAAUGCGAUAAGUAAUGUGAAUUGCAGAAUUCAGUGAAUCAUCGAAUCUUUGAACGCACAUUGCGCCCCUUGGUAUUCCGAGGGGCAUGCCUGUUCGAGCGUCAUUAUAACCACUCAAGCCUCGGCUUGGUCUUGGGGUUCGCGGUCUCGCGUCCCUUAAAAUCAGUGGCGGUGCCGUCUGGCUCUAAGUAUAGUAAUUCUCUCGCUAUAGGGUCCCGGCGGUUGCCUGCCAGAACCCCCCAUUUUUUACGGUUGACCUCGGAUCAGGUAGGGAUACCCGCUGAACUUAAGCAUAUC
rnacentral:rRNA from 1 species